CCUACGGGUGACAGCAGUGGGGGAUAUUGCACAAUGGGGGGAACCCUGAUGCAGCGACGCCGCGUGGGUGAAGAAGCGCCUCGGCGCGUAAAGCCCUGUCAGCAGGGAAGAAAAUGACGGUACCUGAAGAAGAAGCCCCGGCUAACUACGUGCCAGCAGCCGCGGUAAUACGUAGGGGGCAAGCGUUAUCCGGAUUUACUGGGUGUAAAGGGGGCGCAGACGGCGAUGCAAGCCAGGAGUGAAAGCCCGGGGCCCAACCCCGGGACUGCUCUUGGAACUGCGUGGCUAGAGUGCAGGAGGGGCAGGCGGAAUUCCUGGUGUAGCGGUGAAAUGCGUAGAUAUCAGGAGGAACACCGGUGGCGAAGGCGGCCUGCUGGACUGCAACUGACGUUGAGGCCCGAAAGCGUGGGGAGCAAACAGGAUUAGAGACCCCAGUAGUC
rnacentral:rRNA from 1 species